rnacentral:rRNA from 1 species
AUUAUGAUUACUCUUAGCGGUGGAUCACUCGGCUCGU